GCACAAUGAAAUUUUUCCAUAAGAGCUCCACUAAAACUUCUCGCACCUCUGACAUUUAUGUAAAAAGGAUACAACAGGUCUCUUGACUUCUUUCCCUUUCCUCCUUAGGGAAGACAUCUUUCAAGUUUCAAGCAAGGGUGCUUUUGCUCCCUGGAAGACGUUUCUUCUCUGCAUCCUUCUUAAGUUACAUGUGACCAUUCCUCUCUCUGAGGCUGUUUUUGUAAGGAUGGUAUGCAGUUGGGUUAGGUUAGGUGAUAUCAAUGUACAGUCAGCCAUUUUCUGUCUAGGCCUUUGUCAAUGAUAACAACCCAAAAUCAUGAACAGAGGUGAUGAUAUAAAAAUCAUGCUCAAUAGGAUUACGCUGAGGCACAAAGAACUGGGUUACAAGCAGUCACUUGACACAUUGGAAACCUCUUUGGUGACUUCAAUGAGGUCCUCAGAUGCCUGUGCCUUCUUUUUCAAGAGAGGAAAUGUGGACAUCUAUGGUGUACAUUGGUUGGCAAAUGCUGCAUGACAACAAGCACCUAGUCCCACAUUCUAACCUUGGGCAUUUCUGAAAGGCCUGCCCAUUGCUCAUGACCCUGUCCUUUCUGGUGUUUUGCAAUCAUCUGACAUGCCACCUUGUAAGGCAGAGAAACACAGAUAUCAGGAAAGAUAUUCUUCAAAGUUUCAAACAAGGGUGCCCUUGCUUCCCUGGAAGAACUUUCUUGCCUGCAUCCCUCUCCAGUUACAUGUAACCAUUCCUAACUCUGAGGAAGUUUGGGAAAGGAAGGU
rnacentral:lncRNA from 1 species